UAUUUUUAAAUAGCACUUUACAAUUAUCUGAGAAAAAACAUUAUUCAUUUUAAAAUUACCUAAUUGAUUUCUAAAUGAAAUUGUUUCUUUUUCUUCAGUAGUGCAAUCUCAGUCAAAUCUUAAAGACUCUUUGGAUGUCAGUCCCAUAUGCUCAAAUUCAAAGGCCCAAACAAAUUCCUUCACUAAUCAAAAGUACAUUAUAAAUAGCUGUGUGAUUGUCAAGUAUGGGGAAAUAUUCUAUCCAGGUAUAAUUUUUUGCACUGUGUACCUUUUAAUUUCAAUAAACAAGUUCAAAGUAUGUUUUAGAUUGAAGUAUUAACUUUUCAACAUUGCUGGUAAUUUUUUCUAACAGGAGUUGUGAUAGAAGUCCUGGAUGAUCAGCGCAGAAAUAAUUUUUUAAAAAGGCACAGAAAUAAAAAAUAUAUUUGUAUAUCCAGAGGUGCAGGACAUACAGUUAGUGUAUGCAGAUAUGAUUGUUACUGAAGUGAUGUUGAUACCAAACGGCAAUAGUUUGAGAGUGGAAUGUUUUGAUUUCUGAAUUUGUCAAAUAAAAUUUGUGUACAGUU